GACGAACGCUGGCGGCGUGCUUAACACAUGCAAGUCGAACGGAAAGGCCCUGCUUUUGUGGGGUGCUCGAGUGGCGAACGGGUGAGUAACACGUGAGUAACCUGCCCUUGACUUUGGGAUAACUUCAGGAAACUGGGGCUAAUACCGGAUAGGAGCUCCUGCUGCAUGGUGGGGGUUGGAAAGUUUCGGCGGUUGGGGAUGGACUCGCGGCUUAUCAGCUUGUUGGUGGGGUAGUGGCUUACCAAGGCUUUGACGGGUAGCCGGCCUGAGAGGGUGACCGGCCACAUUGGGAGUGAGAUACGGCCAAGACUCCUACGGGAGGCAGCAGUGGGGAAUAUUGCACAAUGGGCGGAAGCCUGAUGCAGCAACGCCGCGUGCGGGAUGACGGCCUUCGGGUUGUAAACCGCUUUCGCCUGUGACGAAGCGUGAGUGACGGUAAUGGGUAAAGAAGCACCGGCUAACUACGUG
rnacentral:rRNA from 1 species